CAGUAGCCGCGGUAAUACGUAGGUGGCAAGCGUUGUCCGGAAUUAUUGGGCGUAAAGCGCGCGCAGGCGGAUAGGUCAGUCUGUCUUAAAAGUUCGGGGCUUAACCCCGUGAUGAGAUGGAAACUGCCAAUCUAGAGUAUCGGAGAGGAAAGUGGAAUUCCUAGUGUAGCGGUGAAAUGCGUAGAUAUUAGGAAGAACACCAGUGGCGAAGGCGACUUUCUGGACGAAAACUGACGCUGAGGCGCGAAAGCCAGGGGAGCGAACGGGAUUAGAUACCCCCGUAGUCCCUGUCUCUUAUACA
rnacentral:rRNA from 1 species